GCUUGUAAAACACCCUGGAGAGAAAAUGGCGGCGGCAGCGGCUUCGGCGCCUCAGCAGCUCUCGGAUGAGGAGCUUUUCUCUCAGCUCCGCCGUUACGGCCUGUCUCCUGGCCCAGUGACGGAGAGCACCCGCCCGGUCUACCUCAAGAAGCUGAAGAAGCUUCGAGAGGAAGAGCAGCAGCAGCACCGGUCCGGGGGCCGCGGCAACAAGACGCGGAACAGUAAUAACAAUAACACGGCUGCUGCCGCGGUCGCCGCGGCGGGAGCGCCGGCGGCGGCCGCGGGGCUGGGGGGCCGGCCGGUCUCUGGCGACCUCUCCUACUUGCGGACUCCUGGGGGUCUGGGCCGAAUCUCGGCCUCUGGCCCGGAGAGCCCCGUGGGAGGGCCCGGGGGCGCCUCGGCCGCCCCCACGGCUGGCAGCAAAGUGCUGCUGGGCUUCAGCUCGGACGAGUCGGACGUGGAGGCCAGUCCCCGGGACCAGGCCGGCGGCGGCGGCGGCGGCGGCGGCGGCGGCGGGAGGAAAGACCGGGCUUCGCUCCAGUACCGCGGGCUCAAACCGCCGUCGGCGCCCCUGGCCGCCAGCGAGGUGACUAACAGCAACUCGGCCGAGAGAAGGAAGCCCCACUCGUGGUGGGGGGCCCGGCGGCCGGCGGCUCCGGAGCUGCAGACCCCGUCGGCGAGAGAUGCAGCCGCGGAGGACGAGGAGGAGGAGGGGGAAGACGGAGAGGACAGGGACCCAGAGGCCGAGGAGCCGCUGUGGGCGAGCCGGACGGUGAAUGGCAGCCGGCUUCUCCCUUACAGCUGCCGGGAGAACUAUUCGGACUCGGAGGAAGAGGAGGACGACGACGUGGCCUCCAGCAGACAGGUAUUAAAGGACGACUCCCUUUCCCGGCAUCGGCCCAGACGGAGCCAUAGUAAGCCUCUCUCUUCGCUGACUGCUAAAUCGGCCGGCGGCCGGCUGGAGACCUCAGUUCAGGGAGGGGGAGGAAUCCCGAUGAAUGACAGGGCGGCGGCUGCGGGGAGUCUAGACAGGAGCCGAAACCUCGAAGAGUCGGCGGCGGCGGCGGAGCAGGGAGGAGGGUGUGAUCCCCUGGACUCUAGCCCCAUUCCUAGGUACCGUGUCACCGCUAAGAAACUGGCCCCUCUCCUGCCCCCGCCACUGACCGACAUGGACUCAACCUUGGAUUCGUCCACAGGCUCCCUCCUUAAAACCAAUAAUCAUAUCGGCGGCGGGGCCUUCAGUGUGGACUCCCCCAGGAUUUUUUCCAACAGCCUCCCUCCCGGUGCAGCGGUGGCUGCCUCCAGUUCACUCAGGAUCAAUCACUCCAAUCAUACGGGCUCCAAUCACACCUACCUGAAAAACGCAUACAACAAACCGAAGCUUUCCGAACCCGAGGAGGAACUUCUCCAGCAGUUUAAACGGGAGGAGGUGUCCCCUACAGGGGGUUUCAGUGCCCACUACUUGUCGAUGUUUCUCUUAACUGCUGCCUGCUUAUUUUUCCUAAUACUGGGACUGACUUACCUAGGAAUGAGAGGGACAGGAGUAUCCGAGGACGGAGGACUCAGCAUAAAAAACCCCUUUGAUGAAACAUUUGGAAACAUACAAGAAAGUGAGAAAAAUCUUAUGAUGAACACUUUAUACAAGCUUCAUGAUCGAUUGGCACAGCUUGCAGGAGAUCAUGAAUGUGGCAGUUCUAGUCAGAGAACACUUUCUGUCCAAGAGGCAGCUGCAUAUUUAAAAGAUUUAGGCCCUGAAUAUGAAGAUAUAUUUAAUAUUUCUUUGAAGUGGAUUUUAAAAAAUGGAAAAGAUGUUGGAAUAAGGUGUGUUGGUUAUGGCCCCGAGGAGCAAUUGAAAAAUAUAACUGAUGUGCAGUUUUUACAGUCCACAAGACCACAGAUGUCUUUCUGGUGUCGUUUUCGACGUGCUUUUAUUACUGUCACCCACAGGUUAUUGUUGUUAUGCUUAGGUGUAGUGAUGGUUUGUGUCGUUCUGCGUUACAUGAAAUAUCGCUGGACAAAAGAAGAAGAGGAAACAAGACAGAUGUAUGAUAUGGUGGUGAAGAUAAUAGAUGUUUUACGAAGUCAUAAUGAAGCUUGCCAGGAAAAUAAAGACUUACAACCUUACAUGCCUAUUCCACAUGUGCAAGAUUCCUUAAUACAGCCUCAUGACAGGAAAAAGAUGAAGAAGGUCUGGGAUAGAGCUGUUGACUUCCUUGCUGCUAAUGAGUCUAGAGUUCGCACAGAGACACGAAGAAUAGGUGGUACAGAUUUUCUAGUUUGGCGCUGGAUCCAGCCUUCUGCCUCCUGUGACAAAAUAUUAGUAAUACCUUCUAAAGUAUGGCAAGGUCAAGCAUUUCAUUUAGAUAGAAGAAAUUCACCACCAAAUAGUUUGACACCAUGUUUAAAGAUUCGAAAUAUGUUUGACCCAGUUAUGGAAAUAGGGGAUCAGUGGCAUUUGGCAAUUCAAGAAGCAAUUUUAGAAAAAUGCAGUGAUAAUGAUGGCAUUGUUCAUAUUGCAGUAGACAAAAAUUCACGUGAGGGCUGUGUAUAUGUUAAAUGUCUGUCUCCAGAAUAUGCUGGAAAAGCUUUUAAGGCAUUGCAUGGCUCUUGGUUUGAUGACUUAUCUCGGCAAGUCACUUCUUCCAGAUGACUCAACAGAGGAUGCUAAAUCAAGCAGAAUUUGGGCAGCCACUCUUUUGGAAAGGAUGCUGAGGAACAGACCUUAUGCUUUAAUUUAGGAGUUUGGUCUGAAGAAAUGAUCAGAAAUGACAUGAAGAUACAUGAAAUGAUAUUCAUCACAGCCUUAUACUGUGAAAAAUGAGAAGCAAUUGAAUUCUACAAAAAUGAGAACAAUGGAUUAUGGAUUAUAAUAUGGAAUCCUGGGUAAUCACUAAAAUAAUGUCUUUGGAGAAUACAUACGGUAUGGAAAAUAUUGUCUGUAGGCUGCUUAAAUUGAUGUACGUUAUUUCAAAUAUACUAUAUUUCAUCUAAGAUACUAUUAUUUGGAAGAGGCAUCAUUUUCUCUGGCACUGAGAAAGAAAAUAAAAAUAACACCCAAGAUAUGAAAUCUGAUAGAAGACCCUGGCAUAAAGGUAGGCGGAGUCAGAAUAAAUGAGAAGUAGACUUGUCUCUGGAAAGGGACAGCAAAGAAACCGGUUAGUCCCCAUUCAGAGCAUGGUUCUAAUUCCUACCACCACCAUGAUCCAAAAAACUUCAAGCAGAGAGAAAAUGUCAUGUUCACAAUUGGUAGUUCCCCCAGGUAAGCAAACAUCGGUCCUCUGGCCGAAACUGGACUUCCAUGCAGAUAGCAAUCUUUUCUUUUGUAACUUUGUCAGUAAUUUUUUUUUUAGACACCUUUGCUUCUAAAAUGAGUUUCUAUAUCAGAAUUGUUAGAAAUGAAAAACUGUGUCUAGCGUGAAAGGCAUAUACUAAAUAUAUGCAAUUGGAGGGAGAUACUCCAAAAUUUAGCAGUGAAGCCCAAUGUGUUCGAUUACAUACGUAUUUUACAAAACUUCUCCAUGAACAUUUAUUGCAUAUAUUUAAAAUGUUUACCUUAAUUAGGAUUCCCAUAAUUGCUUAUAGUCUAUUUUCUUAAUUUGAUCUCCCCUAUUAGCAUAUUUUGAAUCGUUACCAACCUUUGGCAACAAAGCUCAGGCAUUUUAGACUUUCUGUAAUUUCAGCACUUUGGAAAAGAGCUGUGUUUAUUUUGGCUGCAGACCUGUGGGUUAUUACUGUCAGCAGGUGUGUGAAAAGUCUUCCAAAACACUGGAUCCCUGCAUUGAGGGAUCAAAAAGAAAAGAAAAAAGGAGGGGUGCUCAAGAGCACAGGCUCUGGAGUGAGACCCAUGCUCCAAUUUCAGCUUUGACCCUUCAGUUGUAUGACCCUA